rnacentral:rRNA from 1 species
AUUGAACGCUGGCGGCAUGCCUUACACAUGCAAGUCGAACGGUAACAGGCCGCAAGGUGCUGACGAGUGGCGAACGGGUGAGUAAUGCAUCGGAACGUGCCCAGUCGUGGGGGAUAACUGCUCGAAAGAGCAGCUAAUACCGCAUACGACCUGAGGGUGAAAGCGGGGGACCGUAAGGCCUCGCGCGAUUGGAGCGGCCGAUGUCAGAUUAGCUAGUUGGUGGGGUAAAGGCCUACCAAGGCAACGAUCUGUAGUUGGUCUGAGAGGACGACCAGCCACACUGGGACUGAGACACGGCCCAGACUCCUACGGGAGGCAGCAGUGGGGAAUUUUGGACAAUGGGCGCAAGCCUGAUCCAGCAAUGCCGCGUGCAGGAAGAAAGCCCUCGGGUUGUAAACUGCUUUUGUCAGGGAAGAAAUCUUCUGGGCUAAUACCCCGGGAGGAUGACGGUACCUGAAGAAUAAGCACCGGCUAACUACGUGCCAGCAGCCGCGGUAAUACGUAGGGUGCGAGCGUUAAUCGGAAUUACUGGGCGUAAAGCGUGCGCAGGCGGUUAUGUAAGACAGAUGUGAAAUCCCCGGGCUCAACCUGGGAACUGCAUUUGUGACUGCAUGACUGGAGUGCGGCAGAGGGGGAUGGAAUUCCGCGUGUAGCAGUGAGAUGCGUAGAUAUGCGGAGGAACACCGAUGGCGAAGGCAAUCCCCUGGGCCUGCACUGACGCUCAUGCACGAAAGCGUGGGGAACAAACAGGAUUAGAUACCCUGGUAGUCCACGCCCUAAACGAUGUCAACUGGUUGUUGGACGGCUUGCUGUUCAGUAACGAAGCUAACGCGUGAAGUUGACCGCCUGGGGAGUACGGCCGCAAGGUUG